CCAGCUCCAAUAGCGUAUAUUAAAGUUGUUGCAGUUAAAAAGCUCGUAGUUGAACCUUGGGUCUGGCUGGCCGGUCCGCCUCACCGCGAGUACUGGUCCGGCUGGACCUUUCCUUCUGGGGAACCUCAUGGCCUUCACUGGCUGUGGGGGGAACCAGGACUUUUACUGUGAAAAAAUUAGAGUGUUCAAAGCAGGCCUUUGCUCGAAUACAUUAGCAUGGAAUAAUAGAAUAGGACGUGCGGUUCUAUUUUGUUGGUUUCUAGGACCGCCGUAAUGAUUAAUAGGGAUAGUCGGGGGCGUCAGUAUUCAGCUGUCAGAGGUGAAAUUCUUGGAUUUGCUGAAGACUAACUACUGCGAAAGCAUUCGCCAAGGAUGUUUUCAUUAAUCAGGGAACGAAAGUUAGGGGAUCGAAGACGAUCAGAUACCGUCGUAGUCUUAACCAUAAACUAUGCCGACUAGGGGAUCGGGCGGGUGUUUUCUAUGAUGACCCCGCUCGGGCACCUUUACGAGAAAAUCAAAAGUUUUUUGGGUUUCUGGGGGGGAGUAUGGUCGCAAGGGCUGAAACUUUAAAGAAAUUGACGGAAGGGCACCACAAGGCGUGGAGCCUGCGGCUUAAUUUGACUCAACACGGGGAAACUCACCAGGUCCAGACAAAAUAAGGAUUGACAGAUUGAGAGCUCUUUCUUGAUCUUUUGGAUGGUGGUGCAUGGCCGUUCUUAGUUGGUGGAGUGAUUUGUCUGCUUAAUUGCGAUAACGAACGAGACCUCGGCCCUUAAAUAGCCCGGUCCGCAUUUGCGGGCCGCUGGCUUCUUAGGGGACUAUCGGCUCAAGCCGAUGGAAGUGCGCGGCAAUAACAGUUGUGUG
rnacentral:rRNA from 1 species